GGGCCUGUAGCCUAGCGGAUAAGGCGACAGCCUUCUAAGCUGUAGAUCAUGGGUUCGAAUCCCAUCAGGCCCA
rnacentral:tRNA from 1 species